UAGCUCUCAGUACAGAGCAGUGCUUCC
rnacentral:piRNA from 1 species